rnacentral:rRNA from 1 species
GAGUUUGAUCGUGGCUCAGAUUGAACGCUGGCGGCAGGCUUAACACAUGCAAGUCGAGCGGAGAUGAGGUGCUUGCACCUUAUCUUAGCGGCGGACGGGUGAGUAAUGCUUAGGAAUCUGCCUAUUAGUGGGGACAACAUUCCGAAAGGGAUGCUAAUACCGCAUACGUCCUACGGGAGAAAGCAGGGGAUCUUCGGACCUUGCGCUAAUAGAUGAGCCUAAGUCGGAUUAGCUAGUUGGUGGGUAAAGGCCUACCAAGGCGACGAUCUGUAGCGGGUCUGAGAGGAUGAUCCGCCACACUGGGACUGAGACACGGCCCAGACUCCUACGGGAGGCAGGCAGUGGGGAAUAGUUGGACAAUGGGGGGGAACCCUGGAUCCAGCCAUGCCGCGUGUGUG